AAUGCGUUUCGGCUUGUGGCCU
rnacentral:miRNA from 1 species